GAUCCUGGCUCAGGACGAACGCUGGCGGCGUGCUUCAUACAUGCAAGUCGAACGAGAAUCUGACUUCGGUCAGAGGAAAGUGGCGGACGGGUGAGUAACACGUAGGAAAUCUGCCCUUUGGAGGGGGACAACAGUUGGAAACGACUGCUAAUACCCCAUAUGAGCUAAGUUGAAAUACUUAUCUUGAAAACUCCGGUGCCAAAGGAUGAGCCUGCGCCUGAUUAGCUUGUUGGUGGUGUAAUGGACUACCAAGGCGACGAUCAGUAGCUGGUUUGAGAGGAUGAUCAGCCACAAUGGGACUGAGACACGGCCCAUACUCCUACGGGAGGCAGCAGUAGGGAAUUUUGCGCAAUGGGGGAAACCCUGACGCAGCAACGCCGCGUGAACGAUGAAGCCCUUCGGGGUGUAAAGUUCUGUCAGUGGGGACGAAUUUUGACGGUACCCACAAAGGAAGCACCGGCUAACUCCGUGCCAGCAGCCGCGGUAAUACGGAGGGUGCAAGCGUUGUCCGGAAUCAUUGGGCGUAAAGAGUUCGUAGGCGGCAUAUCAAGUCUGGUGUUAAAGGCAGAAGCUCAACUUCUGUAAGGCACUGGAUACUGGUAAGCUAGAAUGUGGUAGAGGUAAAGGGAAUUCCUGGUGUAGCGGUGAAAUGCGUAGAUAUCAGGAGGAACACCGGUGGCGUAAGCGCUUUACUGGGCCAUAAUUGACGCUGAGGAACGAAAGCCGGGGGAGCAAAUGGGAUUAGAUACCCCAGUAG
rnacentral:rRNA from 1 species